rnacentral:rRNA from 1 species
CGUAGGAGGCGAGCGUUGUCCGGAUUUACUGGGCGUAAAGAGCGCGCAGGCGGCAUACCAAGUACGAAGUGAAAUCUCCUUGCUCAACGAGGAGGGUGCUUUGUAGACUGGUAAGCUAGAGGACGGUAGAGGGGGGUAGAAUUGCUGGUGUAGCGGUGAAAUGCGUAGAGAUCAGCAGGAAUACCCGUGGCGAAGGCGGCCCCCUGGGCCGAACCUGACGCUGAGGCGCGAAGGCUAGGGGAGCGAACGGGAUUAGAUACCCCGGUAGUCCUAGCAGUAAACGAUGGCCACUAGGUGUGGGGGGUGUUGACCCCUUCCGUGCCGAAGCUAACGCAUUAAGUGGCCCGCCUGGGGAGUACGGUCGCAAGACUA